rnacentral:rRNA from 1 species
UACGUAGGGGGCAAGCGUUGUCCGGAAUUAUUGGGCGUAAAGGGCUCGUAGGCGGUUUGUCGCGUCGGGAGUGAAAACUCAGGGCUUAACCCUGAGCCUGCUUCCGAUACGGGCAGACUAGAGGUAUGCAGGGGAGAACGGAAUUCCUGGUGUAGCGGUGAAAUGCGUAGAGAUCCGGAGGAACACCAAAGGCGAAGGCAGUGUCCUGGGGAGUACCUGACGCUCAGGUGCGAAAGCCAGGGGAGCGAACGGG